UACGUAGGGCGCAAGCGUUGUCCGGAAUUAUUGGGCGUAAAGAGCUCGUAGGCGGCUUGUCACGUCGAUUGUGAAAGCCCGAGGCUUAACCUCGGGUCUGCAGUCGAUACGGGCUAGCUAGAGUGUGGUAGGGGAGAUCGGAAUUCCUGGUGUAGCGGUGAAAUGCGCAGAUAUCAGGAGGAACACCGGUGGCGAAGGCGGGUCUCUGGGCCGUUACUGACGCUGAGGAGCGAAAGCGUGGGGAGCGAACAGG
rnacentral:rRNA from 1 species